UGGGGAAUUUUGCGCAAUGGGGGAAACCCUGACGCAGCAACGCCGCGUGGAGGAUGAAAUCCCUUGGGAUGUAAACUCCUUUCGAUCGGGAAGAUAAUGACGGUACCGAGAGAAGAAGCCCCGGCUAACUUCGUGCCAGCAGCCGCGGUAAUACGAGGGGGGCAAGCGUUGUUCGGAAUUAUUGGGCGUAAAGGGCGCGUAGGCGGUUUGAUAAGUCUUGUGUGAAAUCUAUGGGCUCAACCCAUAGUCUGCAUAGGAAACUGUCGGGCUUGAGUAUGGGAGAGGUGAGUGGAAUUUCCGGUGUAGCGGUGAAAUGCGUAGAUAUCGGAAGGAACACCUGUGGCGAAAGCGGCUCACUGGACCAUAACUGACGCUGAUGCACGAAAGCUAGGGGAGCAAAC
rnacentral:rRNA from 1 species